rnacentral:rRNA from 1 species
AGUGAACGCUGGCGGUAGGCCUAACACAUGCAAGUCGAACGGCAGCACAGUAAGAGCUUGCUCUUACGGGUGGCGAGUGGCGGACGGGUGAGGAAUACAUCGGAAUCUACUUUUUCGUGGGGGAUAACGUAGGGAAACUUACGCUAAUACCGCAUACGACCUACGGGUGAAAGCAGGGGAUCUUCGGACCUUGCGCGAUUGAAUGAGCCGAUGUCGGAUUAGCUAGUUGGCGGGGUAAAGGCCCACCAAGGCGACGAUCCGUAGCUGGUCUGAGAGGAUGAUCAGCCACACUGGAACUGAGACACGGUCCAGACUCCUACGGGAGGCAGCAGUGGGGAAUAUUGGACAAUGGGCGCAAGCCUGAUCCAGCCAUACUGCGUGGGUGAAGAAGGCCUUCGGGUUGUAAAGCCCUUUUGUUGGGAAAGAAAAGCAGCAGGUUAAUACCCCGCUGUUCUGACGGUACCCAAAGAAUAAGCACCGGCUAACUUCGCG